rnacentral:rRNA from 1 species
GUGUAAAGGCACAAGGGAGCUUGACUGCGAGACCUACAAGUCGAGCAGGGACGAAAGUCGGGCUUAGUGAUCCGGUGGUUCCGCAUGGAAGGGCCAUCGCUCAACGGAUAAAAGCUACCCCGGGGAUAACAGGCUUAUCUCCCCCAAGAGUCCACAUCGACGGGGAGGUUUGGCACCUCGAUGUCGGCUCAUCGCAUCCUGGGGCUGUAGUCGGUCCCAAGGGUUGGGCUGUUCGCCCAUUAAAGCGGUACGCGAGCUGGGUUCAGAACGUCGUGAGACAGUUCGGUCCCUAUCCGUCGCGGGCGCAGGAAAUUUGAGAGGAGCUGUCCUUAGUACGAGAGGACCGGGAUGGACGCACCGCUGGUGUACCAGUUGUUCUGCCAAGGGCAUCGCUGGGUAGCUAUGUGCGGACGGGAUAAGUGCUGAAAGCAUCUAAGCAUGAAGCCCCCCUCAAGAUGAGAUUUCCCAUUCCGCAAGGAAGUAAGAUCCCUGAAAGAUGAUCAGGUUGAUAGGUCUGAGGUGGAAGCGUGGUGACACGUGGAGCUGACAGAUACUAAUAGAUCGAGGACUUAACCUAU